UACAGAGACUGCAAGCGUUAUUCGGAUUCACUGGGCGUAAAGGGCGCGUAGGCGGCCUCAGGUGUCGGAUGUGAAAGCCCGGGGCUCAACCCCGGAGGUGCAUCCGAAACUCUGGGGCUGGAGGUCGGAAGAGGAGGGUGGAAUACCCAGUGUAGAGGUGAAAUUCGUAGAUAUUGGGUGGAACACCGGUGGCGAAAGCGGCUCUCUGGUCCGGACCUGACGCUGAGGCGCGAAAGCGUGGGGAGCAAACAGG
rnacentral:rRNA from 1 species